CGAGAAAAGUACAGGUGCAGCGGGAAAGAGCCGUUGAAAACUCACUGAAAUAGAGGAUGUUAGAUAGAAGGGAAAUUCCCGGAGGAGCGAUGGAUUUGUGCAGUUUUCGGUGGAUCCUCCGUGGGUGAAAGGAGCCCUCCAGGGCCAUUCAUAUCGAUCAGGCGCGAAAGCUAGGGUAGCAAACGGGAUUAGAGAACCCCGGUAGUCCUAGCCCUAAACGAUGGGUACUAGGUGUUCGCCCCUUCAAGGGGUGAGUGCCGCAGCUAACGCAUUAAGUACCCCACCUGGGGAGUACGAUCGCAAGGUUGAAACUCAAAGGAAUUGACGGGGACCCGCACAAGCGGUGGAGGAUGUGGUUUAAUUCGACGCAACGCGAAGAACCUUACCUGGUCUUGACAUGCUGGUGAAAUCCGUGGAAACACGGCCCUCCCGCAAGGGACGCCAGUACAGAUGGUGCAUGGCUGUCGUCAGCUCGUGUCGUGAGAUGUUGGGUUAAGUCCCGCAACGAGCGCAACCCUUACCCUUAGUUGUUUUCCCGAAAGGAUUACCCUCUAAGGGGACUGCCCCGGACAACGGGGAGGAAGGCGGGGAUGAUGUCAAGUCCGCAUGCUUCUUACGACCAGGGCUACACACGUCCUACAAUGGGGUCGACAGAGGGAUGCAAAGCCGCGAGGUAGAGCCAAUCCCUAAACGGCCUCUCAGUUCGGAUAGUAGUCUGCAACUCGACUACUUGAAGUCGGAAUCGCUAGUAAUGGCGGAUCAGCAUGCCGCCGUGAAUACGUUCCCGGGUCUUGUACUCACCGCCCGUCAAG
rnacentral:rRNA from 1 species